rnacentral:lncRNA from 1 species
AUGAGAAAGACUAGAGAUCUCUUCAAGAAAAUUAGAGAUACCAAGGGAACAUUUCUUGCAAAGAUGGGCUCAAUAAAGGACAGAAAUGGUAUGGACCUAACAGAAGCAGAAGAUAUUAAGAAGAGGUGGCAAGAAUACACAGAAGAACUGUACAAAAAAGAUCUUCAUGACCAAGAUAAUCACGAUGGUGUGAUCACUUACCUAGAGCCAGACAUCUUGGAAUGUGAAGUCAAGUGGGCCUUAGAAAGCAUCACUACGAACAAAGCUAGUGGAGGUGAUGGAAUUCCAGUUGAGCUGUUUCAAAUCCUGAAAGAUGAUGCUGUGAAAGGGCUGCAGUCAAUAUGCCAGCAAAUUUGGAAAACUCAGCAGUGGCCGGAGGACUGGAAAAGGUCAGUUUUCUUUCCAAUCCCAAAGAAAGGCGAUGCCAAAGAAUGCUCAAACUACCACACAAUUGCACUCAUCUCACAUGCUAGUAAAGUAAUGCUCAAAAUUCUCCAAGCCAGGCUUCAGCAAUACGUGAACUGUGAACUUCCAGAUGUUCAAGCUGGUUUUAGAAAAGGCAGAGGAACCAGAGAUCAAAUUACCAACAUCCACUGGAUCAUCAAAAAAGCAAGAGAGUUGCAGAAAAACAUCUGCUUCUGCUUUAUUGACUAUGCCAAAGCCUUUGACUGUGUGGAUCACAACAAACUGUGGAAAAUUCUGAAAGAGAUGGGAAUACCAGACCACCUGACCUGCCUCUUGAGAAACCUAUAUGCAGGUCAGGAAGCAACAGUUAGAACAGGACAUGGAACAACAGACUGGUUCCAAAGAGGAAAAGGAGUACCUCAAGGCUGUAUAUUGUCACCCUGCUUAUUUAACUUAUAUGCAGAGCACAUCAUGAGAAAUGCUGGGCUGGAAGAAACACAAGCUGGAAUCAAGAUUGCCGGGAGAAAUACCAAUAACCUCAGAUAUGCAGAUAACACCACCCUUAUGGCAGAAAGUGAAGAGGAGCUAAAAAGCCUCUUGAUGAAAGUGAAAGAGGAGAGUAGAAAAGUUGGCUUAAAGCUCAACAUUCAGAAAACGAAGAUCAUGGCAUCUGGUCCCAUCGCUUCAUGGCGAAUAGAUGGGGAAACAGUGGAAACAGUGUCAGACUUUAUUUUGGGGGGCUCCAAAAUCACUGCAGGUGGUGAUUGCAGCCAUGAAAUUAAAAGAUGCUUACUCCUUGGAAGGAAAGUUAUGACCAACCUAGAUGGCAUAUUGAAAAGCAGAGACAUUACUUUGCCGCCUAAGGUCCAUCUAGUCAAGGCUAUGGUUUUUCCUGUGGUCAUGUAUGGAUGUGAGAGUUGGACUGUGAAGAAGGCUGAGUGCCGAAGAAUUGAUCUUUUGAACUGUGGUGUUGGAGAAGACUCUUGA